UUAGUACGAGAGGACCGGGAUGGACAUACCUCUGGUGUACCAGUUGUCGUGCCAACGGCAUAGCUGGGUAGCUAUGUGUGGACGGGAUAAGUGCUGAAAGCAUCUAAGCAUGAAGCCCCCCUCAAGAUGAGAUUUCCCAACUUCGGUUAUAAGAUCCCUCAAAGAUGAUGAGGUUAAUAGGUUCGAGGUGGAAGCAUGGUGACAUGUGGAGCUGACGAAUACUAAUCGAUCGAAGACUUAAUCAA
rnacentral:rRNA from 1 species